GAUGAACGCUGGCGGCGUGCUUAACACAUGCAAGUCGAACGGAAAGGCUCCUGCUUGCAGGGGUACUCGAGUGGCGAACGGGUGAGUAACACGUGGGUGAUCUGCCCUGCACUUCGGGAUAAGCCUGGGAAACUGGGUCUAAUACCGGAUAGGACGAUGGUUUGGAUACCAUUGUGGAAAGUUUUUUCGGUGUGGGAUGAGCUCGCGGCCUAUCAGCUUGUUGGUGGGGUAAUGGCCUACCAAGGCGUCGACGGGUAGCCGGCCUGAGAGGGUGUACGGCCACAUUGGGACUGAGAUACGGCCCAGACUCCUACGGGAGGCAGCAGUGGGGAAUAUUGCACAAUGGGCGCAAGCCUGAUGCAGCGACGCCGCGUGGGGGAUGACGGCCUUCGGGUUGUAAACUCCUUUCGCUAGGGACGAAGCGCAAGUGACGGUACCUGGAGAAGAAGCACCGGCUAACUACGUG
rnacentral:rRNA from 1 species